AUUGAACGCUGGCGGCAUGCCUUACACAUGCAAGUCGAACGGCAGCACGGGGGCAACCCUGGUGGCGAGUGGCGAACGGGUGAGUAACAUAUCGGAACGUGCCCUGGAGUGGGGGAUAACUAGUCGAAAGACUAGCUAAUACCGCAUACGAUCUACGGAUGAAAGUGGGGGAUCGCAAGACCUCAUGCUCGUGGAGCGGCCGAUAUCUGAUUAGCAGUUGGUGGGUAAGGCCUACCAAGGCAUCGAUCAGUAGCUGGUCUGAGAGGACGACCAGCCACACUGGGACUGAGACACGGCCCAGACUCCUACGGGAGGCAGCAGUGGGGAAUUUUGGACAAUGGGCGCAAGCCUGAUCCAGCAAUGCC
rnacentral:rRNA from 1 species